GACGAACGCUGGCGGCGUGGAUUAGGCAUGCAAGUCGGACGGUAGAGCUUUAUCGUAAGAUAGAGUUUGAGAGUGGCGAACGGGUGAGUAACACGUAGGAAUCUACCCUUAAGACGGGGACAACCCAGGGAAACUUGGGCUAAUACCGGAUGAGAGUGCGAGAGAUUGCAUUUAAAAGGAUGGCGAAAGUUGUCGCUUAGGGAUGAGCCUGCGGUCUAUUAGUUAGUUGGUGAGGUAAGAGCUCACCAAGGCGAUGAUAGAUAGGCGGCCUUAACGGGUGGUCGCCCACACUGGGAUUGAGAUACGGCCCAGACUCCUACGGGAGGCAGCAGUCGAGAAUAGUCUACAAUGGCCGGAAGGCUGAUAGUGCGACGCCGCGUGAACGAGGGAGCCCUUCGGGUCGUAAGUUACUUUUCUUAUUACGAGCAGUGCGUAUAUAUAUGGAUAGUAUAUAUAGUAGGGAGUAGUAGUAUAGGUAAGUAAAGACAACGGACGUAACUACCGUCGCCACGCACG
rnacentral:rRNA from 1 species